UAUCCAAAUCUAAAUCAAACUCUGCUUUGCACAAUGCGAUUUUCACAUGUCAUGGAAAUAUGCAAUGUGGUUUACAUAGCUCUUGGGUGGGCACAAAUCCAGCUUCACCCUGUCACUGCCCUCUGGCAGAGAUAUUUGGGGAAAGAGAGCCCAAGAGUCAGACAGGAUCUUGGCACCUACGCAAAUGAUGUCAUGUAAUGACUAUCUAAGAUGCUCGGCUAUAGGGACUGGAGGGCAGGCAGGUAAAGUAGCGCUGACAGUGCUCUGCUGAGAUUAUGUCAGAUACCUGCCUCGCGGGAUAGUCAGCACAGGGGCGCGUGGCAGGUAACGUCUGUAAGCUGCAUUUUCUCGGGCCAUGACAGCAGGCAGCGCUGGCAGAGUCCGUGUUAUUCUGUUUACCCUGGCUAAUCGCUACAGCUACAGGGUCCCGCGCGUUGUGGGUGCAGUCCCUAGCACUCGCAUUCCUCUCAGUGGCUUUAAAUAACUGCUCCUUUUCUCCCCCUCGCUACGCAAAUGGGAGGAGAGUGUCAAAGAUGGCAAAGAGGGCUGUUUGUUUAAGUUGGAUUUAGUGCACUCGAGUACACUCAUAUGCAAAUAUACACCCUGUUCCUUUGUGCCAUUUAAAAAAAGACCUCUAAUUGCAACUUUGUUUUCCAAACUUUAUUUUAUAUGAGGUUUUUUUUUUUUUUUUAGGUUUCUUUUUUAACCUGCACAACAGAAGUUCUCUUCAGUUUUUCCCACAAAGUGGUGACCUGGCAGAGUCGGUUUUGAUGGGAAACUCCUACUACAUAAAUAGACAGGGAGAGGCGACAGAAUGUGCAUCCAUAAAUAUUAAAAGUCAGCCCUGACGAGACCAUGACGCAAAGCUGUGCAAAGCCACGCGGUGCUCAUUUCGCCAAAGGUAAGGCGGUUUCAUGACUGAUAAUCUGCAAGUGAAUGCUCAUGAGAACCCCGCGAAGAUGCGUUUAUGAUAGGUGUGAGCACAGGACCCGUGCCCAGCUCUGCCUCUGAGGUCAGGCCAACCUGUGGCAAAAAUCCAGAGUGCUGCAGGUUUUUGGUUGCCCGUGUUAGACCGCCUUCUCAAAAGCUUGGCACGACAGGAAGAAGAGUGUGUGGGGAAGAGCGGAGGACUUUCAAAGGCUCCCAUGGACCUCUGACCCAUGCCAAGGGAAAACCAAAACAAACCACAAAGCUACUACUGUCACUUCACUCUAAAUACAAAACCACAUGGGAAAUCCUGAAAUACCAUUUACACUUCUCAUGGUGCCCGUUUUAGGGCUAGACGGGGCCAGACUGGGCUAUGAUAAGACCACUUCCUGUGCAACAUGAGGCCCCAUGCUUUUAGAUAUUCCAGAAAAAGACAGGAAUCUGGAGCAGGCCGGGCGCCUGGAGUCCCGAUAAAGACGAGAUGCCGCUGAGAUGCAGAAGUGGAACAAAGCUCAGAGGGCUGUUUGGGAUUCGAGCAGCAGCUGUCAGUAGGGGUGAUAUAUGGGACACUUCUGUGCUUGCAACAGCAGGAAAAAAAUAGACUUAUUCGCUUCGGUCAGAACAACCAAGUAUGUGAGCAGUUUAUUUUGAAAGGAUAUCUAUCGAGCACUACUAAAAAUACAAGUCUGACGCACAUAUUAAGAAGCACUCCGUCUCCGAGGAGUAUAUAAGCAUCUAUCACCUGCUAUUCUUAGUCCCCAACUAUUUAUGGGAAGAUUUCAAGUGUGGAGGAUGAUAAAGAUGAUGUAUAACAAGUUAGCCCUUACAUUGUUUUGUAAAUAAACAAGUCCAGGUUCAGGAGAGAUUAAGAAAAAAGUGCAAAAUUGCAGUUAGGUAACUCUUUCUCAGUCAUGUGACUUACAAUAAAAUAAAUGCAACAGUAAUAAAUGGAGCAGGAUGCACUCAUUCUUUUAUUCCUGACAUAAACUAUAACAAUGCCUCUGCCUCUGGCCCAACAGAUAAAGACUCCCCUGAUGACUUACAUGUGGAA